UUUCCCUCGGUUAGAGAAAGAUUCAACCAAAUCGGAGCUCUGAAGGAAGGAUCGAGAAUGUUGUAAGUCAUCCUGCGUAGCACGACAAAGAAAAAUGGCCGCAGAACUGCUGACAAAGGCUGUCUGGGAUCAAGGCAGCUGUAUCACUGCUUCCUUGAGCACCGUGCAUGACUCGAACGCCUCGGUGGGGAAUGUUUGCCGGCCAGCUGUUUGUCUGCUGGAUGCCUCUCAUGCUGUGUGGAUGCUGCAUGAUUCAUACGAGGCACGGUCACAUUAUGAUAGAUAAGCCUCCGCUCUCCAUGUGGACUGUUCAACUGCAUUCAACCACAGCAACUCGCUCUAACACGACUGGUGGAAACCAGAUGGAAACCGGAACACUUUCAAAACCAAAAUCGUGUUGCUUGCCUACAGAUUCUGCAUCCAUGUACAAAUAUCUGUUUAUGGACAAUAACAGGAAACAGUCGCCCUCUUCUUCUGCAUUUUAAGGGAACGAUUAUGAAGAUUUUUCUUGGGGCAGGAUGACAUUAUUUGUCUACGCCUUACAAAAGCAUGAAAGAUUACUGUUAAAAGUACAUUUAAAGUGGCUCUAUGUAACAAUUUGUAGAAAUAUACAUGUUUUAUUAACUUUUUAUUGGCUGUAUGUGAGCGAAUUUUAACAUGAUGAAUGAGACCUUCCCUUCCCUUCCGUUCUCAGCUGCCUGUAAAAGCCAGUGAAUGGUUUGUUUAAGAUGUUUAAUGAUGCUGGACUCUGGAUUUCUUUGUGUAGGACAUUGGAUUUUAGGAUCAAUGCCGUACUUUAAAGAAAAACGAUGUCGGUUUUAAACAUGAAACAAACAGCUGUCUCCAACGUUAGUCUUGCAUUUGUCUGAAACAU